rnacentral:lncRNA from 1 species
UAGCUUCUUUUACGCUGAUAUUUAGAAAUAUCUAUAAUUUCCCUCUCUAUUGAUGAGGAAUACUGAGAGAGGGGGACUAGAAAGAUGAUGACACAGGAAACAGUUGAUGUAAGGGUCUGAGUUCAAGGUCACAACUUCCUUCUUGUUUAUCUCUGCCAGACAGCCCUAAUGGAGUCUGACCUAACAGAUGUUUGGUUGGAAUACAAGACCAGGUUGAUCUGUUUCGCUCUGGGAACAACACAGCCACAGCCCUUCUUCACCACCUAGAGAGCUGGUACUCAGUCUCCAUCUACUGAUGAACCUGUCUCACUGUUGCUGGCCUGGGCCUCUGGAUACAGAGAUUGAACACAUUCUUCCCAACAAACUUCCAAAGUUGUAAAUCUUCACAGCAGCAUGCACUGUCUCUUCUAUUUCUGCUAUAUUUCCUGUUCUGUACGCAAAAGAUAGGUUGCUCACAGAAUCAUAGGAUCAUAGAUUUUGAGCUGGAUGGGAUCUUAAAAGCCAUCUUAUCCAACCUUUCCAUUUAGCUGAAAAGGAAAGAAAGGCCCUCUCCCCAAAAUCACAUAGGUAAUAAGUAGUGGAGGUGAAAUUUAAAACAGUGAGAGUAAAGGAUAAGUAAGUGU